ACAUCAUUCGGACCGUCGGUCUACCGAGCAAUACCACCCGCUCAGUGGAAGAUCUUCCCUUUGUCGU
rnacentral:pre_miRNA from 1 species